rnacentral:rRNA from 1 species
GAUGAACGCUGGCGGCGUGCCUAAUACAUGCAAGUCGAGCGAACGGACGAGAAGCUUGCUUCUCUGAUGUUAGCGGCGGACGGGUGAGUAACACGUGGAUAACCUACCUAUAAGACUGGGAUAACUUCGGGAAACCGGAGCUAAUACCGGAUAAUAUUUUGAACCGCAUGGUUCAAAAGUGAAAGACGGUCUUGCUGUCACUUAUAGAUGGAUCCGCGCUGCAUUAGCUAGUUGGUAAGGUAACGGCUUACCAAGGCAACGAUGCAUAGCCGACCUGAGAGGGUGAUCGGCCACACGGGAACUGAGACACGGUCCAGACUCCUACGGGAGGCAGCAGUAGGGAAUCUUCCGCAAUGGGCGAAAGCCUGACGGAGCAACGCCGCGUGAGUGAUGAAGGUCUGCGGAUCGUAAAACUCUGUUAUUAGGGAAGAACAUAUGUGUAAGUAACUGUGCACAUCUUGACGGUACCUAAUCAGAAAGCCACGGCUAACUACGUG